CCCUACUCCUACGGGAGGCAGCAGUAGGGAAUCUUCCGCAAUGGACGAAAGUCUGACGGAGCAACGCCGCGUGAGUGAUGAAGGUUUUCGGAUCGUAAAGCUCUGUUGUUAGGGAAGAACAAGUACCGUUCGAAUAGGGCGGUACCUUGACGGUACCUAACCAGAAAGCCACGGCUAACUACGUGCCAGCAGCCGCGGUAAUAAA
rnacentral:rRNA from 1 species